rnacentral:rRNA from 1 species
UACGUAGGGGGCAAGCGUUGUCCGGAUUUAUUGGGCGUAAAGAGCGUGUAGGCGGUCUGGUAGGUCCGUUGUGAAAACUCGAGGCUCAACCUCGAGACGCCGAUGGAAACCAUCAGACUAGAGUCCGGAAGAGGAGAGUGGAAUUCCUGGUGUAGCGGUGAAAUGCGUAGAUAUCGGGAGGAACACCUGUGGCGAAAGCGGCGCACUGGACCACAACUGACGCUGAGGCGCGAAAGCUAGGGGAGCAAACAGG